rnacentral:miRNA from 1 species
UAUUGUUCUGUGGUUGGUUUCG